rnacentral:rRNA from 1 species
UACGUAGGGUGCAAGCGUUAAUCGGAAUUACUGGGCGUAAAGCGUGCGCAGGCGGUUUUGUAAGUUUGUCGUGAAAGCCCCGGGCUCAACCUGGGAAUUGCGAUGAAGACUGCAAGGCUUGAAUCUGGCAGAGGGGGGUAGAAUUCCACGUGUAGCAGUGAAAUGCGUAGAGAUGUGGAGGAACACCGAUGGCGAAGGCAGCCCCCUGGGUCAAGAUUGACGCUCAUGCACGAAAAGCGUGGGGAGCAAACAGG